rnacentral:tRNA from 1 species
GUCAGGAUGGCCGAGUGGUCUAAGGCGCCAGACUCAAGUUCUGGUCUCCAAUUGGAGGCGUGGGUUCAAAUCCCACUUCUGACA